CGCGCAGGCGCACUAUGCGACACACCUUGUGUUGUUGUAGAGCGCUUCCCGCAAGCCUCAUCAUUACAAUAUAUACAGCCCCUCUUCCUCACAACACGCAACACGCCGGAGAUGCAGAGAUCAACGAGCGACGGUUAAAUAUUGAAUCUGACAAACAAGAAAGAAUGAAAGCGCAGCCCUCUCGUGUGAACAUGUCGCUGGAAUACGGAAUCUAAACCCGUUGCGGUCAAACACAAAGCCCCCCUUGGACCAUAAUCCUCCAAACAGCAGGGUCGGUGUUGCUGCUGGUGAUGGAGCACAUCCGGACGCCCAAGGUGGAGCAGGUGCGUCUGCUCCAGCGCCGGGCGGGCCAGAGGAAGCCCCUCUUGGGGACCCUCUACCUCUCCGCCACACACACCAUCUUCGUGGAGAACCACCCGGAGACACGCCGGGAGACCUGGGUGCUUCACAGCAUGGUGUCCGGGCUUGAACGCCCCCCCGGCGGGCCAACAGGAAGUCAGCUGGUGCUGCGCUGUAAGGACUUCCGGGUCUUCCACCUCCUCUUCCCACUGGAGAGGGACUGUGUGGACGUCCACACCUCCCUCACCCGCCUCUCACGACCAGAGAGCUACAGUGAGCUGUACUGCCUCUCCAUCAACCCCAACACCAACCAAGAGGAGAGGGAGAAGUCCUGGACCCUGGUCCUCCCCUCCCAGGACUAUCAGCGCAUGGGCCUGCCCAACAACCUGUGGGUCGCCACGGCAGCCAACAGCGAAUACAAGAUGUGUGACUCUUACCCCGCCCAGCUGUUUGUGUCCAGGUGGGCGUCACCGGCCGUCCUAAUGGGCAGCUCUCGUUUCAGGAGCAGAGGACGACUUCCUGUUCUCAGCUACUUCCACCAGGACACUCUGGCUGCCGUGUGUCGUUGCAGCCAGCCUUUGUCUGGGUUCUCUGGUCGUAGUGAGGAAGAUGAGCAGAUGGUGACCGCCGUGAUGAAGGCCAACCCUGGGAGUGACUUCAUCUACGUAGUGGAUACUAGACCCAGGCUGAACGCAAUGGCCAACCGCGCAGCAGGCAAGGGCUAUGAGAGUGAGGAUCACUACGGCAACAUCAAGCUGCACUUCAGCGGCAUCGACAACAUCCACGUGAUGAGGAGCAGCCAGCAGAGGAUCCUCGACGUGGGCGAGCAACGCACCCCCUCAAUGAGUGACUUCCUGUUGGGUCUGGAGAACUCUGGUUGGCUGAAACACAUCAAGGCUGUGCUGGACGCUGGAGUCUUUAUAGCCAAGGCCAUAGCGGACGAGGGGGUCAGUGUUCUGGUCCACUGUUCUGACGGCUGGGACCGCACGGCGCAGGCCUGCUCUGUAGCCAGCGUGCUGCUGGAGCCCUACUACAGAACCAUGAAGGGACUCAUGGUUCUAAUAGAGAAGGACUGGGUGUCUUUCGGUCACAAGUUCUCACACAGGUACGGGCACCUGGACGGGGACCCCCGGGAGGUGUCGCCGGUGCUGGACCAGUUCCUGGAGGUGCUGUGGCAGCUGGCCCAGCAGUUCCCCUGCGCCUUCCAGUUCAACGAGCGCUUCCUGCUGGACCUGCGGACCCUGGCCUACUCCUGCCAGGACGGCACCUUCCUGGGGAACAGCGAGAAGGAGCGCCGCUCCCUGAGGCUGCAGGAGAGGAGCUUCUCAGUGUGGAGCCGGCUGUGGAGGGACCGGGAGAAGUACUGGAACCCUUUGUACCGGGCCGAGCAGAGCCAGACCCAAGGGGUCCUGAAGCCCAACACCACCCCCUACUGCUUCAAGAUGUGGAAGGGUCUGUACAGCCCGGCCGAGACGCCCGCCCCCCCGGCCCAGACGCCCGUGGACUUCCUGUCCAGCGUGAGGGAGGGGUCCCAGCAGCUGGAGCAGCAGCUGGCCAAUCAGCAGGAGGUAGCGGCAGGAGGACCCGCCCCACUGGGCUCCAGACAAGGCAUACAACACACAAAGACACGCCCCCUCUAUCUAAAACCACGCCUCCAUCGCCACAUCACCGGCCGCCAGUCCGAUUGGUCCUUCUCUUUGAGUGACAGGGGGAAUGGGCGGGUUUAACGGUUAAAAGGAUCAUUGGGGAUCAGGACAGUUGGUUGGUAAGGGUGUUAGCCGACAGGUACUUUGAUUCCCAAAGAGUGUUGAAGUGAUGUUACAAAGUAGUGAUAUGGAUUGAUCCUGCCGCAGAUUGUGAUUUAAACGCAAAAAAAAAAUUUAAGCAGGGACUAAGUUAUAUUGCAAAUUCUGUUAAUUGUUAUUGGUGGUUUGGGUUACCAGGUACCGUCGAUCAAACAUUCUAGCUACAAGCAAAUCUGACGGCGGCGAAUAGAGACGGAGGAGGAGGUGAACAGCGGCUAAGCUCCGCCCCCUUAAGGAAGGGGAGGGGCUACCAGGAGUCGGAGGCGUUCUGUGCGUCUGAUGGAGGGCAGGACGCGCUCCAACAACGCGUUCGGUUCUCCUUUUGGAGGGAACUCUCCGAACUCUAAGAAAGCUUUGAAAAAGGUCCCCCAAAACCCCCGUCAAGAUACCGGGUCCAGCAGACCAAGACUUAACCAUCAAGUCCAGCUCCUCUGAGAACUUAGCCCAGUACCCAUCAGGACUAGCGACUGGCAGCCCUGACCGGGGAGCCAAUCAGCUACCAGAAGGUGGAGGUACCCAAGAGGAAG